UUAUUUGAGAGUUUGAUCCUGGCUCAGGAUGAACGCUGGCGGCGUGCCUAACACAUGCAAGUCGAACGAAGCACCUUUUGAGAUUCUUCGGAUGAACAUUUGGUGACUGAGUGGCGGACGGGUGAGUAACGCGUGGGUAACCUGCCCUGUACAGGGGGAUAACAGCCAGAAAUGGCUGCUAAUACCGCAUAAGCGCACGAAGGGGCAUCCUUCCGUGUGAAAAACUCCGGUGGUACAGGAUGGGCCCGCGUCUGAUUAGCUGGUUGGCGGGGUAACGGCCCACCAAGGCGACGAUCAGUAGCCGGUCUGAGAGGAUGAACGGCCACAUUGGAACUGAGACA
rnacentral:ncRNA from 1 species